rnacentral:rRNA from 1 species
AGUUUGAUCCUGGCUCAGCGCGAACGCUGGCGGCGUGCCUAACACAUGCAAGUCGUGCGGAGGGGCGAUGAGCCCUCAGCGGCAAACGGGUGAGUAACACGUGAGUAACCUGCCCCUGGGAAGGGGAUAACCCUCCGAAAGGGGGGCUAAUACCCUAUAUAGCCGGGGACCACUAAGGUCUCCCGGUGAAAGGUGGCCUCUGCCCUUUAUGGGCAUGCUACCGCCCAGGGAGGGGCUCGCGGCCCGUCAGGUAGUUGGUGGGGUAACGGCCUACCAAGCCUAUGACGGGUAGCCGGCCUGAGAGGGUGGCCGGCCACAGUGGGACUGAGACACGGCCACACCCCUACGGGGGGCAGCAGUGGGGAAUCGUGGGCAAUGGGCGCAAGCUGGACCCCGCGACGCCGCGUGGGGGACGAAGCCCUUCGGGGUGUAAACCCUGUCGGGGGGGGGACGAUGUGCCCUGGGGUGAAUAAUCCAGGGCAUGACGGUACCCCAGAGGAAGGGACGGCUAACUACGUGCAGCAGCCGGGUAAUACGUAGGUCCGAGCGUGCGGGAUUACUGGGGUAAACGUCCCAGCGGACGGUAAGCG